rnacentral:rRNA from 1 species
UGCAGUCGAGCGAGAAAAGGGGGGCAACUCCCUGAGUACAGCGGCGCACGGGUGAGUAACACGUGGGUAAUCUGCCUUGGAGUGGGGAAUAACACCGGGAAACCGGUGCUAAUACCGCAUACGAUCACGAGGUCUGCGGACUUUGUGAUGAAAGGAGCAAUUCGCUCCAGGAGGAGCCCGCGGCUGAUUAGCUAGUUGGUGGGGUAACGGCUCACCAAGGCUACGAUCAGUAUCCGGUCUGAGAGGACGGUCGGACACACUGGAACUGAGACACGGUCCAGACUCCUACGGGAGGCAGCAGUGGGGAAUUUUUCCAAUGGGGGCAACCCUGACGAACAACGCCGCGUGGGUGAUGAAGUCUCUUGGGACGUAAAACCCUUUCGACGGGGAAGAAACCGCAAGGUUGACGGUACCCGUAGAAGAAGCCCCGGCUAACUCCGUGCCACAGCCGCGGUAAUACGGGGGGGGCAAGCGUUGUUCGGAAUUACUGGGCGUAAAGGGGCGUAGCGGGCUCUAAGUCGGAUGUGAAAACUCUGGGCUCAACCCAGAGCUUGCAUCCAAACUGGAGUGCUAGAGUUCUGGAGGGGGUAGCGGAAUUCCUGGUGUAGCGGUGAAUGCGUAAUAUCAGGAGGAACACCGGUGGCAAGCGGCUACCUGGACAGAAACUGACGCUGAGGCACGAAAGCUAGGGGAGCAAACAGGAUUAGAUACCCUGUAGUCCUAGCCCUAAACGAUGGAUACUUGGUGUGACCGGAUUGAAUCCGGUCGUGCCAAGCUACGCAUUA